UUUAAAUGUUAAUGCAGUAGCAUGUGUUAGUGCAGCUGUGUAUGUGUUAAUGCAGCAGUAUAAGAGUUAACAU